rnacentral:rRNA from 1 species
CACGAAGGGGGCUAGCGUUGCUCGGAAUCACUGGGCGUAAAGCGCACGUAGGCGGGUCGUUAAGUCGGGGGUGAAAUCCUGGAGCUCAACUCCAGAACUGCCUUCGAUACUGGCGAUCUUGAGUCUGGGAGAGGUGAGUGGAACUCCGAGUGUAGAGGUGAAAUUCGUAGAUAUUCGGAAGAACACCAGUGGCGAAGGCGGCUCACUGGCCCGGUACUGACGCUGAGGUGCGAAAGCGUGGGGAGCAAACGGG